rnacentral:rRNA from 1 species
UACGGAGGGUGCUAGCGUUGUUCGGAAUUACUGGGCGUAAAGCGCGUGUAGGCGGUUAGGUAAGUUGGGAGUGAAAUCCCGGGGCUCAACUCCGGAAUUGCUUUCAAAACUACCUGGCUAGAGUUCGGUAGGGGACAGUGGAAUUCCUGGUGUAGAGGUGAAAUUCGUAGAUAUCAGGAGGAACAUCGGAGGCGAAGGCGACUGUCUGGACCGAUACUGACGCUGAGACGCGAAAGCGUGGGGAGCAAAC